UCGGACAGGUGCGUGGGCGACCCAGAUAGACGCGUGGGCAGCCACUCCACUGCUUAUCCAGUCCACCUUCCAUCUCCACCUUUUCCGCUCUCGCCUUGCUACUCCCCCGCUGUUCCUACAGCCCGUGCCUAUGCGCCCGGACGCCGCUGCUCCUGUCGCCCAUCCCGUGCGCCUCCCUUCGCUGUGCGCUCUCCACGCCACGAUGGCUGUGAGCCACCCCUCCCUCCCUUUCUUCCUCCCUCACCUCUGCGACCUCCAUGUCCUCUAUGCCACUGGAGUGGGGGCGAUAGCGGUGGCUUCCGACGAGACACACACCUCCCCCUACUCUCUCUUCCUCACAGCGACCUCCAUGCAUCCAGAGAGGAGAGCAACAACGGAGACUUUCAGCAAGGUAGGUGGAGUCCUCAUCUAGAUCUCAACUUCUCCUCUUUUUCCUCACUCUAAACCAAGCUCUCCUCUACCUUCUCGUCCUCGUCGUCCACCUCCUAUUCCUCAUCUGGAUCUGGAUCUAAGGAUACGACAGUGGCUAAGGUUUCGGUGAGCUCUCGGGUACAGAUCUCGUCGUGUUGCAAUGAUUCUCUCUUGAUGUUGCAGUAGGUUUCAAUCGAUUGUUGUAGUACUGCUUUUUUAGAUGUUUUACAGUAUAUUUCAGUUGCUUCAAUCUGCAUGUUGCAGUAGUUGUUGCAUGUGUGUUUCAACAGUUGUUCGGUGUUAUUGUAAUAAUAUCUUCUUGGUGUUUCAGACGCUGCAACUUAAUAUUUCAGCUAUUUUUUCUUUGUUGUUGCAACAAUACAUUCAAGAUGUUUCAACUUCAUCAUCACAAUGUUGGAGUUGUUAUCUAUUUUUGUUGUUGCAAUAUAUAUGUUCAUAGUGUUUUAACUGCUUCAACUCAUUGUUGCAGCAGCUCAUUCUGUGUUGUUGCAAUAACAUGAUCAUGGUGUUUCGAACUGCUUCAACCUAUUGUUGCAGUAACUUAUUUGGUGAUGUUGCAACAACAUGUUCAUGGUACUUCCACUGCUUCAUCCUAUUGUUGCAUCUCAAGC
rnacentral:lncRNA from 1 species